GCUGACAUGAGUAACGAUAAUGCGGGUGAAAAACCCGCACGCCGGAAGACCAAGGUUUCCUGUCCCAUGCUAAUCAGGGCAGGGUAAGUCGGCCCCUAAGGCGAGGCAGAAAUGCGUAGUCGAUGGGAAACGGGUUAAUAUUCCCGUACUUAUAUAAUCAGUGAUGGAGGGACGGAGAAGGCUAAGCAAGCUUGGCGUUGGUUGUCCAAGUGAAAGUGCGUAGGGAGUGAGAUUAGGUAAAUCCGGUCACACAAUCCUGAGACACGAGACGAGCCACCAAGGUGGUGAAGUUGUUGAUGCCCUGCUUCCAGGAAAAUCUUCUAAACUUAUGAUUAUGUAAACCGUACCCCAAACCGACACAGGUGGUCAGGUAGAGAAUACUAAGGCGCUUGAGAGAACUCGGGUAAAGGAACUCGGCAAAAUUGUACCGUAACUUCGGGAGAAGGUACGCCCCUGAUGGUGAUGAGACUUGCUCUUUGAGCUGUCGGGGGCCGCAGUGACCAGGUGGCUGGGACUGUUUAUUAAAAACACAGCACUCUGCUAACUCGAAAGAGGACGUAUAGGGUGUGACACCUGCCCGGUGCCGGAAGGUUAAUUGAUGGGGUUAGCGUAAGCGAAGCUCUUGAUCGAAGCCCCGGUAAACGGCGGCCGUAACUAUAACGGUCCUAAGGUAGCGAAAUUCCUUGUCGGGUAAGUUCCGACCUGCACGAAUGGUGUAACCAUGGCCACGCUGUCUCUACCCGAGACUCAGUGAAAUUGAAAUCGCAGUGAAGAUGCUGUGUACCCGCACCUAGACGGAAAGACCCCGUGAACCUUUACUACAGCUUGGCACUGAACAUUGAACCUACUUGUGUAGGAUAGGUGGGAGGCUUCGAAGCAUAGACGCUAGUUUAUGUGGAGCCGUCCUUGAAAUACCACCCUGGUAUGUUUGAUGUUCUAACGUUGGUCCCUUAUCGGGAUUGCGGACAGUGUCUGGUGGGUAGUUUGACUGGGGCGGUCUCCUCCCAAAUAGUAACGGAGGAGCACGAAGGUUAGCUAAUCACGGUCGGACAUCGUGAGGUUAGUGCAAUGGCAUAAGCUAGCUUAACUGCGAGACAGACACGUCGAGCAGGUACGAAAGUAGGUCAUAGUGAUCCGGUGGUUCUGUAUGGAAGGGCCAUCGCUCAACGGAUAAAAGGUACUCCGGGGAUAACAGGCUGAUACCGCCCAAGAGUUCAUAUCGACGGCGGUGUUUGGCACCUCGAUGUCGGCUCAUCACAUCCUGGGGCUGAAGCCGGUCCCAAGGGUAUGGCUGUUCGCCAUUUAAAGUGGUACGCGAGCUGGGUUUAGAACGUCGUGAGACAGUUCGGUCCCUAUCUGCCGUGGACGUUGGAGAUUUGAGGAAAGCUGCUCCUAGUACGAGAGGACCGGAGUGGACGAACCGCUGGUGUUCGGGUUGUGUCGCCAGACGCAUUGCCCGGUAGCUAUGUUCGGAUAGGAUAACCGCUGAAAGCAUCUAAGCGGGAAGCCCCUUCCAAGAUGAGAUCUCCCUGGACCCUUGAGGUCCCUGAAGAGCCGUUCAAGACCAGGACGUUGAUAGGUCGGGUGUGUAAGCGCUGCGAGGCGUUGAGCUAACCGAUACUAAUUGCUCGUGAGGCUUGACUAU
rnacentral:rRNA from 1 species